rnacentral:rRNA from 1 species
CUACGGGGCGCACCAGUCGAGAAUCUUCCGCAAUGGGCGAAAGCCUGACGGAGCAAUGCCGCGUGUAGGAUGAAGGCCCUUGGGUCGUAAACUACUGUCACAGGGGAUGAAUACAUGACAGUACCCUGAGAGGAAGCCACGGCUAACUACGUGCCAGCAGCCGCGGUAAUACGUAGGUGGCGAGCGUUGUUCGGAUUUAUUGGGCGUAAAGGGUUCGUAGGGGGUUAUCUAAGUUUGGUGUGAAAUCCCGUGGCUCAACCACGGAACUGCAUUGAAAACUGGAAAACUAGAGUACCGGAGAGGAAAGCGGAAUUCCUGGAGUAGCGGUGGAAUGCGUAGAUAUCAGGAAGAACAUCGACAGCGAAGGCAGCUUUCUGGACGGCAACUGACCCUGAGGGACGAAAGCGUGGGUAGCGAACAGGAUUAGAUACCCCAGUAGUC